AUACGACUCUUGACAACGGAUAUCUAGGCUCUUGCAUCGAUGAAGAACGUAGCGAAAUGCGAUACUUGGUGUGAAUUGCAGAAUCCCGUGAAUCAUCGAGUCUUUGAACGCAAGUUGCGCCCGAAGCCUUUGGGACUAGGGCACGUCUGCCUGGGCGUCAUAA
rnacentral:rRNA from 1 species